AUUGAGCACAAAAAAAAACAUCUCUUUCUUGAAAGGUAUUUGAAAUCUGCCUCUGCUCCAUCUCAAAACGCUCGAUACGCUCCCAAGGGUAAGGGAAGAUGCUGAGGAGGAUGGAGGGGGUUAUAUUUAGAUGAGAAGCAACGCGGGCUGACACGAACAGAGACACACGAAAGAACAAAGUGAAAACGCUCGACAGUCAGUAACAAACCCCUGAGCUUUUAAUUUUCCUUCCCUUAAUUCACGUUUCCCUGCGCAGAGCGAACAUCAAAGCGGCACAGGGCUGCAUGGGAACAGGAGGUGAGGAUGAGGUGCUGCUGCACCUGACUAUUACAGGAGUUACUGUUGCCUUUGUGGAACGUGCUCAACCCUCUCAGCCUGCCAGAAGAGAUGAAAACCACUGACGUUAUCUCUGCAGUGCAAAACUGAGAUGGAAUCAGUUCACAUCAGCAAAGGCCAUCGCACACAUCCUGACAUAGAGCCUCAACAGCCCCGUUUAA